GAGCCAGGCACCAACACAGAGAGAGGACGGAGGAGGGAGAAUCAACAUUCACAUGUGGCGAGGCCGCGCAGAGAUCCUCGACCGACAUGCAGUGAGAACUGUGAGCUGCGAUGGAGAUGUUGGUCGUGCUCUGGAAAAAACUCUCCGAGGCUGUGCUUCGAUACGAGCCCCUUGCACGAAGGUUCCCAGCUUGAUAAGGGCCCGAGCACUGACAGAAAGUGAGGCCCUAUUGAAAUGGAUGAACAGACGGGAGCCCAGGUGAGUUUUCAAACAUUCAAGACGCUAUGAUUCUCUCUCAGUCGUACCUUCAUGCCAGCUGCAGCUGCAGGUCCACCGGGGUCCACCGCCUGGAUGUGACAGGGUUUGCUGCCUCGCACCACAAAGCCCCAGCCCACAGCAUCGCCUACAAUCUGAGGAGCAAUCAGAACACAGACCAUCUCCGCUUGGGGCCAUAGGCAAUUUGCCUAGUUUUGCCAACCCUGUUGCAACAUCCCUGCUGUCGGAAGUCUGGUGUUGUGGAUAACAUAUUCAAACAUUUGGGGUUGAAGAGGACAGGUGGGCUGCUGCUGAGCGUAGGACUGCUGCUGUAAUAACCGCUGCUGCCACAGCUGCUGCUCAUGCUGCUCCGGCGGACUCCCACCACCACCUUUAUCUCUUUAGUGGGACUCACU